UACGAAGGGUGCAAGCGUUACUCGGAAUUACUGGGCGUAAAGCGUGCGUAGGUGGUUCGUUAAGUCUGAUGUGAAAGCCCUGGGCUCAACCUGGGAAUGGCAUUGGAAACUGGCGACCUAGAGUGCGGUAGAGGGUAGUGGAAUUCCCGGUGUAGCAGUGAAAUGCGUAGAGAUCGGGAGGAACAUCCGUGGCGAAGGCGACUACCUGGACCAGCACUGACACUGAGGCACGAAAGCGUGGGGAGCAAACAAG
rnacentral:rRNA from 1 species